rnacentral:RNase_P_RNA from 1 species
AGACAAAUGCUGCAUAUAUACUAUGUAGAGGAAAGUCCUUGCUCACACAGCCUGCGAUGGUUGUAGUGUUUGUGCUUAGGGAAAAAAUAACCUAAGGUAGAGUAAUACUCUAACGGCUUCGAGGAAACCUUAAAUGGUUUUAGUAGAUAUAAAAGUGCCAAAGUGACGAAGAAAAGGGAAACCUUGGAAGUGGAACGUGGUAAACCCCACAAGUGAGAAACCCAAAUUAUGGUAGGGGAGCUGCUCUUAAGAAAUGAAUGAUAGAGUGGACCAGUGAUGGUAGAUAAAUAUUUGUCGCGUCUUAGACGUACAGAACAAGGCUUAUAA